UACGAAGGGGGCUAGCGUUGUUCGGAAUCACUGGGCGUAAAGCGCACGUAGGCGGAUGUGCCAGUCAGGGGUGAAAUCCCGGAGCUCAACUUCGGAACUGCCUCUGAUACAGCACGUCUUGAGUCCGGAAGAGGUGGGUGGAAUUCCUAGCGUAGAGGUGAAAUUCGUAGAUAUUAGGAAGAACACCGGUGGCGAAGGCGGCCCACUGGUCCGGUACUGACGCUGAGGUGCGAAAGCGUGGGGAGCAAACAGG
rnacentral:rRNA from 1 species